rnacentral:tRNA from 1 species
CACGGGAAAUGGUCGGGAUAGCUCAGUUGGUAGAGCAGAGGACUGA